AGACAGUGUGUGUGUGUGUGUGUGUGUGUGUGUGUGUAUGUGUGUGUGUGUGAGACCUUGAGCUCACUGUGCUUCCUGAGGCCCCUGGUUCACAGAAAGCUCUGGCCUUUUGCACCCUCUGCUCCUGCUCUUCCUCACCAGGGAAGUGGAUGGAGGAAGGCAUCUCCAUUAUGAUUUGCCAAGCACACCACCGGCCAGUGACAGAGGACCCUCAGGAAGAUGAAUGUAGCUGAGGUCUUUGAACCCUCAAGGUGGAAAUGCCUCUGUGAAGCCUCGGGGAAAAUCCUCACAAGGCCAGAUUCCAAAGCAAAGGUCCAGAUGCAGCAAGCAGCCCUGCCCACAUUCUGUAAAUCCCCUCGGUGAAGAGCCCAUCAGUAACUGAUGAUUCUGAAGUAGGUUAAUGGUCAGUAUGUGUAAACAUCCAGUAUGUGUA
rnacentral:lncRNA from 1 species